rnacentral:rRNA from 1 species
AACAAACGCUGGCGGCGUGCCUAAUACAUGCAAGUCGAACGGGGAAAGCUUUCGGGUGAGUACUAGUGGCGCACGGGUGAGUAACGCGUGGAUAAUCUGCCCUCGAAUGGGGAAUAACUAGUCGAAAGAUUAGCUAAUACCGCAUAAGACCACGACUACUGAGGUAGUUGGGGUCAAAGGAGCAAUUCGUUUGAGGAUGAGUCCGCGUAAGAUUAGCUAGUUGGUGAGGUAAUGGCUCACCAAGGCGAUGAUCUUUAACUGGUCUGAGAGGAUGAUCAGUCACACUGGAACUGAGACACGGUCCAGACUCCUACGGGAGGCAGCAGUAGGGAAUAUUGGACAAUGGGGGCAACCCUGAUCCAGCGACGCCGCGUGAGCGAUGAAGGCCUUCGGGUCGUAAAGCUCUGUUGUAAGGGAAAAAGUUCUGAUUGUACCUUACGAGAAAGGAUCGGCUAACUUCGUGCCAGCCGCCGCCGUAA